rnacentral:rRNA from 1 species
AUUGAACGCUGGCGGCAUGCUUUACACAUGCAAGUCGAACGGCAGCACGGGCUUCGGCCUGGUGGCGAGUGGCGAACGGGUGAGUAAUACAUCGGAACGUACCCAGUAGUGGGGGAUAGCCCGGCGAAAGCCGGAUUAAUACCGCAUAUGCCCUGAGGGGGAAAGCGGGGGACCGAAAGGCCUCGCGCCAUUGGAGCGGCCGAUGGCUGAUUAGCUAGUUGGUGGGGUAAGGGCCUAACAAGGCCACGAUCAGUAGCCGGUCUGAGAGGACAACCAGCCAAACUGGGAUGUAGACACGGACAAGACACCCACGGGAGGCAGCAGGGGGGAAUUUUGGACAAUGGGCGAAAGCCUGAUACAGCAAUGCCGCGUGUGCGAAGAAGGCCUUCGGGUUGUAAAGCACUUUUGUUUGGAAAGAAAAGGUGUGGGUUAAUACCCUGGACUGAUGACGGUACCAAUCGAAUAAGCACCGGCUAACUACGUGCCAGCCGCCGCCGUAA